GAUGAACGCUAGCGGCAGGCCUAACACAUGCAAGUCGAGGGGUAACUAGAGUGAUAGCAAUAUUACUUUGGCUAGACCGGCGCACGGGUGCGUAACACGUAUGCAACCUACCUUAUACUGGGGAAUAACUUCGAGAAAUCGGCGCUAAUACCCCAUAACAUUGCGAAGAGGCAUCUCUUUGCAAUUAAAACUCCGGCGGUAUAAGAUGGGCAUGCGUCCAAUUAGCUAGUUGGUGAGGUAACGGCUCACCAAGGCUACGAUUGGUAGGGGUUCUGAGAGGAUGAGCCCCCAAACUGGUACUGAGACACGGACCAGACUCCUACGGGAGGCAGCAGUGAGGAAUAUUGCGCAAUGGACGAAAGUCUGACGCAGCCAUGCCGCGUGCAGAAUGACGGCCCUAUGGGUUGUAAACUGCUUUUGUACGGGAAUAAACCCUUCUACGUGUAGGAGGCUGAAGGUACCGUAAGAAUAAGCACCGGCUAACUCCGUGCCAGCCGCCGCCGUAAAAC
rnacentral:rRNA from 1 species